AGAGUUGAUCAUGGCUCAGAACGAACGCUGGCGGCGCGUUUAAGCAUGCAAGUCGAGCGGCAAGGGCCUUCGGGCCCCUAGAGCGGCGGACGGGUGAGUAACACGUGGACAAUCUGCCCCCCGGCCCGGGAUAGCCCAGGGAAACCUGGAUUAAUACCGGAUGAGACGGGACCCGCGAUGGCGGGAUCCGGGAAAGGCGCUGCGGCGCCGCCGGGGGAUGAGUCUGCGUCCCAUUAGCUAGACGGCGGGGUAACGGCCCACCGUGGCGACGAUGGGUAGCCGGCCUGAGAGGGUGGACGGCCACAUUGGAACUGAGACACGGUCCAGACUCCUACGGGAGGCAGCAGCUAAGAAUCUUCCGCAAUGGGCGAAAGCCUGACGGAAGCGACGCCGCGUGAACGAAGAAGGCCGUGAGGUUGUAAAGUUCUUUUCGGGAGGGGGAACAACCGUGGCAGGGAAUGGCCGCGGGAUGACGUGAAUCCCGGAAUAAGCCCCGGCUAACUACGUGCCAGCCGCCGC
rnacentral:rRNA from 1 species